rnacentral:rRNA from 1 species
CUCCGAGGCCUCGUGAUCGGAAUGAUCACACUUUAAAUCCUCUAACGAGGAUCCAUUGGAGGGCAAGUCUGGUGCCAGCAGCCGCGGUAAUUCCAGCUCCAAUAGCAUAUACUAAAGUUGUUGCGGUUAAAAAGCUCGUAGUUGAAAUUGCGUCCCGCGGCGUCCGUCUACCGAUUGCGGUACGAUGGGCGCGUCUGCGGGACUUCUCGCCGGUGCGUCUUCCGCCUGCUCGGCUCGCGCCUUGCACGCGCGGAAUUCGUCGCGGCUAUUUACUUUGAACAAAUUAGAGUGCUCAAAGCGGGCUGUUUUUCGCCUGAAUAUUGUACGCAUGGAAUAAUAGAAUAGGACCUCGGUUCUGUUUUGUUGGCUUUCUGACACCGGAGGUAAUGAUUAAUAGGGACAACUGGGGGCAUUCGUAUUGCGACGUUAGAGGUGAAAUUCUUGGAUCGUCGCAAGACGAACUAAAGCGAAAGCAUUUCCCAAAGGUGUUUUCAUUAAUCAAGAACGAAAGUUAGAGGUUCGAAGGCGAUUAGAUACCGCUGUAGUUCUAACCAUAAAUGAUGCCAGCCAGCGAUCCGCCGAAGUAUCUUUUUUAAAUUACUCGGUGGGCAGCUCCCGGGAAACCAAAGCUUUCGGGCUCCGGGGGGAGUAUGGUUGCAAAGCUGAAACUUAAAGGAA